CAGAGGAGCCACAGGAGCCGAGGCCCUGGCUGCCCUCUGAGCAUGCUGCGUGCCAAGUGGACUGGCAGCUCCCGCGGGUGACCAGGGACACCUGAGGAGGAGGACCUGGCCUCCAGGACCCUGAAGGGUCUCGCGCACAGACCUUGGGGGUAGCACGCCCCCCACCCCCACCUCCCCAGGUCGAGGCAGCUGCCACGACCUGUGACCUGAGCACCAUCCUGAAAUCUGUUUGCUAGUAAAAGCUGUCAGGUAAGGAUUUUGUGCAUGACUAACACUGAGGCUGCCACCGAGCUCAGAGGCCCUCCCCUGGCCACUUAAGCCACAAGAAGUAGAGACCAGACAUUCUUCAAAUGAAAGGAACUGAUUUCAGUCCAAAAAA